rnacentral:rRNA from 1 species
CCUACGGGUGGCAGCAGUGGGGAAUAUUGCACAAUGGGGGAAACCCUGAUGCAGCGACGCCGCGUGAGGGAAGAAGGAUCUCGGUACGUAAAGCUCUAUUAGCAGGGAAGAAAAUUACGGUACCUGACUCAGAAGCCCCGGCUAACUACGUGACAGCAGCCGCGGUAAUACGUAGGGGGCAAGCGUAAUCCGGAUUUACUGGGUGUAAAGGGAGCGGAGACGGCAGCACAAGUCUGGAGUGAAAUCCCGGGGCUUAACCCCGGAACUGCUUUGGAAACUGUGCGGAUGGAGUGCAGGAGGGGUAAGCGGAAUUCGUGGUGUAGCGGUGAAAUGCGUAGAUAUUAGGAGGAACACCGGUGGCGAAGGCGGCUUACUGGACUGUAACUGACGUUGAGGCUCGAAGGCGUGGGGAGCGAACAGGAUUAGAUACCCCAGUAGUC